GCCUAGGUGGCUCAGUCGGUUAAGUGUCUGACUUUGGCUCAGGUCAUCAGGUCAUGAUCUCUCUGCUCAUGAGUUCGAGCCCCAACUUGGGCU
rnacentral:tRNA from 1 species